rnacentral:tRNA from 1 species
GCCGAAGUGGUGAAACUGGUAGACACGCAACGUUCAGGGCGUUGUGCCUUACCACGGGCGUGUGGGUUCGAAUCCCACCUUCGGCACCC